CUAACGAGGAUUUCCUUAGUAACGGCGAGUGAAAAGGAAAAAGCCCAACGCUGAAUCCAAUAGACAUUUAGUGCUAUAUGGAAAUGUAGCGUAUAGGUAUAACUAUCCAUAACAUAUUUUUGCACCCAAAGUCCCCUUGAGCGGGGCUACAGUCCAUAGAAGGUGCUAGACCUGUACGGGUGAGAAAAGUUAUGGUAGGUUAUUCCUUGGAGUCGGGUUGUUUGAGAUUGCAGCCCAAAGAGGGUGGUAAACCUCAUCUAAGGCUAAAUACGACCACGAGACCGAUAGCAAACAAGUACCGUGAGGGAAAGUUGCAAAGAACUUUGAAGAGAGAGUUCAAGAGGGCGUGAAACCGCUGAGAUGGAAACGGAUAGAGUUAACGAAACUUAUCGGUAUUCAACCGAUCAAUUUAGCAAUCUUAUUUGAUUUAUUAUUCAUUUUUAUCAAAUGAAUAAAAUGAUAUAUAAGAUAGAAGUGCUAAAUUUGUUAUGAUUGGUGUAUUUACCGAUAGUAUGCAUCGAGAGCUUCGUUUUAGCAUAUUAAUACAAUUUUUAUUUAGUGGACCAAUUUUUCGUAUGAUAAUUGGAAUCCUAAAUAUGUUGAAAUAUGUCUU
rnacentral:rRNA from 1 species